UUUUUUUUUUUUUUUUUUUACAUUUGAUCUUUUGGACAGUGUUAGUAGAUGUUUGUGUCUUUUGGCGAAGGUUCGUGAAUCAUGGUUGAUCUGGAUCUCAGCCAUUGCACUGGGGAGUACUUCUUUCUAUCUUUUGUUAUUUUUCUUUCCCUACACAUUGAGGACAAUGUGUAUUUUAAGUGUAGGGGAGAAAAUGUGUAGUACUUGUAGUACUUUUGCUUUGAUUGCUUGGACUUGAGAUUUGAAAUAUGAAUUGCACUUAAAUGAUGUCAAUUUUGGGUUUGCUGGCAGGGAGUUUGAUUCAGUUUUAAGCGAAAAUUCUGUCAAAAUUUUUCAAAAUCUUGUCCAAAAUUGCAAAAAUGCCCCAAAAGGUUUCACAUUUUUUCAAUUUUAUCCAAAGGGCAAUAAGUUCCACACCAUUAGUAAUUCAAAUUCCUUCUACUUUUGAGAUAAAUAUAUGUGACUUAAAAACUUCUUUUCUCAAUUGAUUUGGAAAUAACUAUUAUGUGAUUAUAAUUUGUGCAUUUAUAGGAAAGUAUAUUGUGUAAAGUGGAGAAAAUUAUUUCUACAUUUUACAUAUUUGAUGAAAUUUCUUCUCUUUACUUGAUUUUACAUAGUUAAGUAAUAAAUAUGGUCAAUAAGUGCAAUAUUUUUUUCAUGAUUAUACUUUUGAGGGACUAAUUAUUAUCUUUACUUUAAAAAAAAAAAGAAAAAGAGAAGAAAAAAAGUAGAAAAAAAUUUAAAAAAGAGAAUAAAAGUUGUUCUAUUCCAAUGGUUCUUGUAGUUAGUAAUCGGGAGUUUCAUCUACAAAUUUUGACUUUUGUGUAAAACGGUACUUGAAUAACGAGUAUGCAACGCAAUUUAAGCAUGUGAAGUGUUGAGUAAUCGGAAAUUUUCAUCUAAAAAUGUUGAUUUUCGCGUAAAAAGACACUUUCACAAACUUGAGUAUAUAUUUAGAUAUACUAUAUAAAUAAAUUCUUCUUUAAGUUUGAAUAAGUAGAUGAUCAUGGGUUUAGGAAGUAUUUUAUUGAUCAUAGGCGUUACUUGCUUGUGAAAUCGGGUAAGGAUAAGAAAUUGAGUUGAACUAGUUAAAAUUAUGGUAUAAUUAACUCUCCUUUACUUGAUAUUAUGUGUACUUAAUCUUAGUUGAGUGAUUACUUAACGGUCAUUUACCUUGUUUUGAGAAAAUGAAGUUGAAUUGUACACAUAUGUUUAUUUUCAAAAUUUUGGAUCAUUGUUGGUUUGUAAUUCUUAAUUGCUUGAGAACAAGCAAUGGUUCAAGUAUGGGGGAGUUUGAUAAGUUCAUAUUUUACAUGUUUUAAACGUAUUUUAUUAUUUAGUUUUGGUGUAUUUUAACUACUUUUAUAGUUAAUUUGUGAGGACUCGCAAAAUUUUUUAUAUUUUCUUAAAAAUUUCCUUUUAUUUUGAAUAAAUUAAUUUAUAAUAGCUUUACUACUCAUUUACUUCCUCAAAUAGUUGCAAUAAAUCAUAGAAUUAAGAGUUUCAUCUUUAGUUUUAUAGUUAGCGCAAAUUAGGGUUUUUACGUAUUUCGAUAGUAUGAUUAGUUGGUGAGGUGUGUGUAUUAAAUUCGGUGGUUAAUGGUGAGUUUUAGAUAAGAGAAAGUGUAUGAUUAGAAAUGAUAAUAAUAAGUUAGUGAAUCAUAAGUUAAAACACUAGUACGGCCGAGUUUAGGAAAAUCGGUUUGAACCGACGUGUACCUUUUGCUACCGAUUGAAUACACCACUUGGACACUACUUUAUUACCUUAAUCUCCUUGCUAUUUCAGAAUUAUCAACCCUUAAUUAACCCUAAAAGUGGCCGAAAAUUUUGACCAAGAAAAGAGGAAAAGAAGAAAAAAAUUUGAGACUUAAUCUUGUGGUGACACUUGGCGGCCAUCCAACCAACUUUGACCAAACCAAUUUCCUAUCUUCUUAUCUAUCUCUUGGCUUUAUUUCUUCUCAUUUUCUUCUUGGUUGGCCGAGCUUGAGGAGAGAAAAAAACAAGAGAGAAAAUUUCAACUUCCACCUUGAAUCCAUCUUUGUUUGAGUGAAAUUAACCAAACUAAACCAAUUAAACUUCUCUUUGGAUGUUUGGAAAGUUUUGUGUGGUGAAAUUUUUGGAAGAGAGGGGUUUGAUUUUCACUUACAAGCAGAUUUUGGAAGGUUUAAUGAUUUCCUUUCCUUUUCUCUUACUUAAUCUUGUUAAUAUUGGGAUAGAAGCUUAUGUUCUUGGUUUAUUAUGGUUAAGUAUUUAGUUUUGGAUGAUAUUGUGGAAUGUUUAGCUAGGGUUUACAUUUUCAGCCUUAAUUAUGGUUGUGUACCAAGUAAUUGAUGGUAUUGAGCUAGUAAUUGAUGGUUUUGAUGAGAUAGUACUUGACAGUAUUGAGCUCGGAUAUGAAUUUGUAGAGUAGAAGUGAAUUUCCAGCAUUGAUAGUGAAUCUACCUUAUUUUUACACUAUGAUAAAGGCCAAAUCAGUUCUUACUCAAAACAUGAAAAUUAUAGGGAAUUGAGUUAACUAUCUACCUGUAAAAUUUCAGCUCAAUCGGAAUACUGUAUCUUGUGAAAUGAAUAAAAUACCCCUAACUACCCAAAUGCCCAGUUUAACCGACAGUUUUCUGUUUUCUCUGAAAUUUUGCUUUUUGACCUUGAAAAUGCAAGAACUGGGUGUCAAUGUUUUCAUAGGAAAUGUAGGUCUCUGUUUUAGCUUUGAAACGCCAUAAAAUUUACCCCAAUCCGAUAAGCGUAGCUUCAGUUGUGACCGAAACGCCGAAAGAUGUCAAACCUGUUACUUAGCUAUUUGUCUUUAAAACUAGUUUCCAACUUUGGUCUUGGUGGUUUCAUUAUUAGAAUUGAUUUGUAAUUGGAUGAUAUUGAGCCUAGUUGAAGAGCUAUUGUGUUAGACUUACUUAUGUGUUGAAUUUGGGUUGAGUUGAGGAAAAAAAUUGAAGCCAUAAAUGGCUGGACAAUAGUAAAAUACAAAGCGCAUGCUGUCCAAAUUUUUACUUAAGGGUUAGGCGAGCGAACUUGAGACUUGAGCGACGACUCGAGGUUGAAACGAACUUCAUGUGUUAUGGUAUUUGAGUUUCGUUAGUAAGAUGUAUAUGAGUUGAAUUUGGCCAACACUCGUACCCUUUAAAAGGUGAAGGUAACAAUCAAUAGAAAUACGUUUUCCUCGUCUUUUAGACUCAAAUGUGAAUUCCAAAGUUUUAAUCGCUUCUUUACCAAAACUAAAAGAGCGAGCAUGAGUUUUGUGACGACCCCACCGUACCCAGAGGCGUACCAAAGGGCUUAGCAGGCCGUCUGCCUAACUCGCGCCAGGACUCGAAAUCAAAAACUAAUAACAACUAUUCACACCCAUACAGUUACUAUACACAUUAUAUACAUGCUCAAAAAUUCACUAUGUACAAAAUAUACAGCAGCAAAAGUGUUCUAUGUACAAUUCAAAAGUAGAAGUCCGGACUACUGCUUCAUGCUAUCACUACAACUAUAACCAUAAGGUGGACCCGAAGGUGGAUCCGAACACGUAUCACUAUUACUAUUACACGCAUUUUAAUUGUCCAAAGAAAGGUAUUAAACCUAACUAAACUAAUCGAACGUCCAAAUGUGGUCCCCGCGUCGACCCCUGUAAGGAAAAUAAAGGGAAGGGGUAAGCUAAACGCUUAGUAAGUACGCUGGAGUAAAAACAUAAAUUUCACAUGGUAGGAGCAAUUAAAGUCACAUAGUGCCAAGUUAAAAGCAAACUAAUAACACAGAUGUAGGAUACAGAUUGGCUUCAAAGCCAAGUCGUUUGUCAUGAUUGACCACCUGCCGACACUCCGUCGACCGCAAAUUAUGGUCCGUAGAACCCCACUUGUCAACCCGCCGUCCACCUUAGCACCCACACUGGCCAGUCACCCGCACACACAUAAUAGCUCGAGCAAGGUUGGUUCAUGCACAUAGGUUCACAUAUUUGGUUCACAAACCAAUUCACAUAUUUAGUUAACCUGAUGAUCGCAAGUCUAAGUUAGACUAGCUCCGACCAAGCCCCUGUCGGCUCGAAUAGUCCAACUAGGUCCUGAGAUCGGGCCCCACACAUAUCACAUGUCACACGUAUCACAACUAUCACCCCGAGCUACAAGCUCUAGGGUUCAGUCCCAACAGCAUGCUAUUUACACAUAUCAAGUACAAGUACAGGUACAUUGUAGGGUUUAGGUCGAGUAUGAUAAAGUACACCCUCGCCUAAAGUCCUUUCAUUCAAAACAUAACACAUAAGAGCGGUGACUUAGACACAUAACCCUAGAUACUUACAAAAGUACAAAAGAGCUACAACUAAGCAAAAGCGUCGUCCACUCCGCUAGUGGGCCCCAACAGCCGCCUCUAGCUCGUCGCUGUCUGCAAUAGAAGAUUGCGUCACAUUAGACCAUAAACGGUUAUCAAAUAGAAAAUCAUAAGCAAAACGGCAAAAACGACACGCGCGCGCGCGGGAACGACAGACGGAAACGGAAACGGUCAGUGAAAACGGGAACGGCCGUUAGUGCGGAAAUGGCAGAUUUGCUACUUUUUUUCAUUUUGAUCAUAAAUUAGGCUACAAGUGUCGGUUUAAGGUGUAUGAGAUGCUGUUUCGAAGCUAAGAGGAUACACUAUAACUUUUGUGAAGACCUCAAGAACUGAAACUGGAAUCUUCAGUACCAAACGAACCAAACAAAUUGGGUCACGAAAGCUGUCCAAGGUCAAAUGGUCAGUUUCAGGGGUGCUGGCCGUUUUAUAUGCUACACAUAUCCAAUUGAUCUGAAACUUGACAGUUAGAAAUUUCAUUCCAAGAUGAACAACUUUCAUGAAGGCUGGAAAACCUGAAUCCAAAUGUAAAUAGGUCAUCUAGACCAAAACAGGUUCGAACAGAUUAAGGUCAUUUUCGCGGACAGGCCCUGUUUGAUUGGCUAUAACUCAGCUUUUAUAAAUCCAAUUCAUGAAAUUCCAAAGGCGUUGGAAAGCUCUGAUAUAGGGCUAUAAGUUUGGUGUUUUGGUCACGAGCCCGAUCAGCUUGUAACCUGGUCAAAUUCGAAGCCAAAGUUCCAGUUGUAAACUGUCCUGGUUUGCUGUUUUGCUGGACUAACACGCGCAAUCGCGUGAAACGAAUUCGCACCACACACACAAGAUUCUAAGCCAUGGCUACACCACUUUAACACAUAUAAAGCACUCCCUAAUUUCCCUAACAAGACUCCCGAAAUACCUCAUGAAAACAGCCCCUAAACCCUAACCUUUUCUAACCAAAAGGCAAAUUCUACAUUCAUUAACAUCUCUAACCAAAGCUAAUCAUAUCUAACCAAGGCAUAAUCAUUUAAGCCCUAAUCAAACCCAAAACAUCAGCCCCUCAACCUAGGGUUCCUUACCCAAAUUUCGGACAUCAUCACACCUUACCCAACAAACGAAACAAACAACUUAAGCAAGUCAUUUACAAGCUCAAUUUCACCACUAAAGUAUUAGUCUAACAUAAACCAUAGAAACCCUAAUUUGUCUUGUCUUGGCUGAAAUUCAAGACAUCCAAUUUGAGCAAAAUUAAACCAUAAAACCACUCCAAAUGCAAGCCAAACAACAUGAAUUCACCAUAACAUAACACAACAAAAACCAACAAUUUCAAAGGCUACAAGCCUUCAUCCUUCAAGCAACUUUCAAGAGGAGUUUCUUACCACCAACUAAGAUGUAGUACAAGAGUAGGACAACCUCCACCAAGCCCCAAGAUGCUCCUAGCAAGCUUCAGGACCAAAGAUGAAAGCUCCAAGUGCAAGAAUUUUGCAAAGUUUCUUCUCCUUUUCUCUUGUGUCUCUCACGGCUCACUCUCUCUUUCUUUCUCUUGUUGUUUUGGCUUAUCACACUUAUGGUUCCUUAUGUCUUAUGACUUAAGGGUUAUAAGACAAACCCAUCCAACAACAAAAGAUAUUUUCCUACAUCAACCAAUCACAAAAUAGCAUAGGAAUUGCCUUUAAGUCCUUGCAACCUUGUCUUGCCAAAUCCUCAACUCUUGCCCUAAUAACUUUCAUUUUCUAUCAUUUUACUCCAUAGGACUUAAUCUUAGCUUAAUCCAAAUGUCCUAAUCUCACUUAGCAAUUGCACUAAUCACCCUUAAACCUUACUUACCUAUUCUAAAUAAAUCUUUAUCACACUUAAAAUCAACCAAAUAACCACUUUUAUGCCAAGGCCAAAAUUAGAGUAUAAACUAACUUAAACACUUUAAACCAAGGGUUAACUAGGGUUUCUCCUCAUUUAGGGUUUUCUAACCCUUUAAACCCACUUAACCCUAUAUCAAUCUAUACAAACACAUACCUACACAUGUCUAAUACACAUUCAAACAUGCAAUUGCAAUAGAAAUGGCUAUCUAGGGUUUCGCUUAAAAAUUUUCGAUUUUUGAGCAAUUAGGGUUUCUCAAAUUUCCAAUUAGGGAUUUUCGGAUUAUUUGGAAUAAAAAUCACACUAAAACUUAUUAUUUUCACAUAAAAUCACAAUUUAGGGCAACCGGGGUCUCACAAGUUUUCUAGGGUGUGAUAAGCAAAAUGAAUACUAUUUCAAUGAGUUUCAGUUACUUGAUUUUCUUUAAGCGAAACUCUUAAGUUUCGAAGCCUAAUUGAUUUCAAACUCUUAAAUGAUGUUUUAUCGCAAAUUUGGACUCCAAACACGGAGUUGUACUUGAACGUGAAUCUAAGAAGCACUAAGUUUUUGGUGAGUGCUUCCAAAUACUUGAUUGAACUUGACGCUUGUUUUCAAUACUUGACCAAUGUGAUCGAAUGAUGUUGAUUAAUUUGGUCGGGCAAGGGUGUACUUUAUCGCACUUACCCUAAUGUGAUAUAUUCUUGUUCAUUGGUUGCCAUUGACUUGAUAUACAUGUAUAUGAUUCAUAUCUUGUCUGGAAUUUUAAAAACCUUGAGGCUAGUUAAUCGAGUCGAUCCGGCAAAGGGUCUGGUUGAUUAGAUAACGAACCCUGGGUCUCUAGUUUGUCGAGUGGAGUUUUAUCUCCUCGACUAAUCGGUAUACUCGAGUAUUACCACCAAUGUUUAUCUUGGCGUUCGGGCCCGGUAAGGGGUUUGGUUGGUGGACGGAGAUUGGAGUUAAGUGGUGCACUACUGGACUAGUUACCUUACUUGAAAGUUGACAGAGUGUCAACUACUACUUGAUCAAGCUAUGGUGGAGCUAGUUUACAAAAGCAACUGUAUUCUUUUAUUUGGAAUGUUGAAUAUUUAAUGUUUGGCCAUAUGAAGUGUUAUUGCUCAUUUUCUUGACUUGUUGUGCUCGCUACUUUACUAUUAUGAUAUUUUCACUUUUAAUUAAUAGUCAACUUGCUAUUUGGAACCUCACUAAACUUUAGCUCACUCUAUUAGUUUUGUUUUCCUUACAGGGGGUACGAGCGAGGAGUGGAAAUUGUACAUGCUAGCGUAGUCUAGUUUUUAGAUUUUGCAAUUGUACUCGCGCUGGCAUUCAACUAGGGUUAAUUGUACAUGGAUUGUAAGCACUUUGACAUAUUUGAGUGUGUAUAAGCCUUGUAGCUGGAUUUGAAUAUCAAUGUAUAUGUUAAAUUUGGAAUUGUUGUUUUAUUUCUUUUCUAUGAUUGUAAGUUCUUUUCUCGAGUUAAGCGUGAGUGAGUCCUGGCGAGAGUUGGGCAAGCGACUCGCUAAACCUUAGGGUACGCCCUAGGGGGAGGUGGGGUCGUCACAUAAUUAACUAAGUUUCUAGUGAAAAUAUGCAUUUUGUAGUUUAAGUGGUAAAAAUUGUAUUUCUAUAGAUUUUAAUGGUGAAAAUUUCAUAUUUUUGUAAGUUUAUUCAAUCAUCAAAUGGAAUGAAUUGAGAAGAUAAUUAGAUUGUUAUUGAUGAUUUGAAGUGAUAAAAAGAAAAUAUGAAGUGCAAAAUACUGAAAGUAUGAAGUGCAAGUUUUUCAGUUUUGACACAUUGUGGUAUUUCGGCUAUAUCUUGAGUUACAAGUAUUGGAUUGAGGUGAUUUUUAUAUCAUGUUGAAGCUAAGAGAUAGAUCUAUAUUUGGUAUGAAGACAUCGAGAUCCAAUUUAUUCAUUUUCCUUGUUAAAAUAUCGAAAUACAGAAGUGCAUGUUCAUUGUUAAAAGUUGAAACAAAGUUCUGACUAGUUGAGAGUAUUUUGGUCAUUUCUUGGUUCACAAAGCUCUAAAUUGGAUUCUUAAGCCAUUGGAAAGCUAACGCAAAAGGCUACAAUUUUCAUGUUUUGUGCAAGAGUUAGUUCAGCCUCAAUUAUUGAGAAAAUAUCAGUUGAAAUUGGACCAGAAACAGAGCAAGGAUGAAAUCUGCCCAAAAUGAGUAAAUCUACAAAAAGAGCAAAACGGGAGGUCAAACACAGGCAUAGGCCGCGUUUUCUACCCAUGUUUUCAUGGAUUCUGGCUGCAACUUGUGCUCUAUUCACACAACCUUUUUGACCACUUUUUCUGCAAAGAUUCCGGCUGGAAAUGAACAGAUGAGUAUGAAAAUUUUGAGAAGUAACCUUUGUGAGUUUCAAGAGUCAAAAAUGCCAACUAAAAAUAACUCAAUUUGGCUCUUGAAUCCUCUAUAAAUAGAGGCCUUUGGGGAACAUUUUAAAAACUUUGGAAAAGCUAGAGAAACUCCACAAAAACGUAAUUUUCAUUAGAGUUUUCUGAGUUCAUUAGUUAGGGUAAUAUAGUAUAGUAUAGUUAGAGUAGUUUAUUCUUCUUACAUUUGUAGUUAGAUUUGGAUGAAAAUUUGAAGAGUAAAGAUAGAGAAUUAGAGGUCAUGUGAUAAGGGUGGCUUCUCUCCUAUCACUUUCUCUUUUGUAUUUGAUUUCAUGUUUAGGUAUAAUACAAGUUUGGAUCUUGUUCCUUAUGUGUAGUUAAAAUUUAUGCCUAAAGUUAUGGAUGAACUUUCUAUAUCUUGUUAGUGAUAUUUACUUGGUUAUUUGAUGAUAUUAUUUUGAGCAAGUUAUUUAUCACUUUUGCUUUUCUAAUCAUAAUUAAUCGGGCAUUAAUUGUGAUAAUUUUAAGGUGUUAAGUUUGCAAUGAAAAUUGAAAUUUAGCACUAGUUCAAGGAGGUGAUAAAUCUAGUGAGUAUACUCACGAAAGUAGAGGUGCACCUUUGUGAUUUUAGUGAUUUGUUUCAUAUAAUUUUAUAGAAAAAAAAUGAGCUUGUAAUUAAUUUAAUAACCACGUAAGUAGGUAUAAAUUAACUAGAGAUAUAGUUGGUACACCGAUGAAAACGGGUAUCACAUAUAUUAGGAAAUUACACCAUAAUUAGCCAAAAUAAUAGCAUUCACUUAACCGGUAAUUCAUUUAUAAGAGUGGUCAGGAAUUCCAUAUAUCUAGGAGUUUUAUAUUGUUAUUUUUAUUGCUUUUAUUUCAUGUUUGUAGCAUAGAUUUAAUCUUUUGCAUUUGUGAUAGUCUAAAUAAUAAAAAAAUUCGAAAAUCAUUGGUAAUUGACAAUCUUUUCUGUGAAAUCGACACCUAAUAUUCCUAUGCUCAAUAAAUGACUCGUAUACUUGCGAAAAAUCACGUGUGGGGUAUUUAAAAAUUUAUAAAUAUAAAAUUUGACUGUGGAAUGAGCUAAUUAUUAUAUGUAUAUCCCGUGCUCGCCAGUUGUUAAGAGGGAAAUGAGAGUGACUAAAAAGUCACACAUCUUGGUUAUUGAUUCCCCUUCUUUAGCAAUUUUGUCCAUGUACUUAUAAACUACUAAUGCAGUAUGAUAAAUCCACACCAAAGGAGGUUUUUUCCAACAAAAAUAAAAGGAAAGAACAGACUAUAAUGUAGUGUGGCAAAAAAGUGGAAUGCAAUCAUGCAACUAUCAUAUGUUUAAGCGCAUUUAAUUUUACUUAAUCAUUGAAAUGGUUGGCAACAAUUUUUGUUUUUCUUUCCCAGUCGUGAAAGAUAGGAUAUUCAAAUUCAUGCGACAAAUAUGGUCUCAACUAAACUGCCAAUUGCAUACUACCUUGGUUAGCUCAAACUGUGUUCUUGAUUAUAAACCUUGAAGUGAAACUUACAAAACAACCUUUAAUAUCAAGCUUAUUUUUGAAAGAAAGGCCAAACAAAUAAGAUACAGAUAUUUUUUAUUUUCGUUUUGAACUUGAUGCACAAAGUGUUAGUGAUUAUCAUGGGAUGGACUGGAAGGUUGUGGGUAGAAACAAUGAAAAAGAUAGCGAUGAAGGUGAUAGGAAAUUAACGUAGGUGAAAUUAAUAUUUUCCAUACUGCUAGGUUGAUGGGCCAUGUUGGUCCAGAUGAAUCAAUCAAUCACACAUUCGGAUCAAGUAUCAUUCCCUUUUUCUGUAAUGUCCUAAAAAGAUCGAAAGGUUUACUGGAAACUUGUACUUUAUUCAAAUUAGGGUAAAGUACAUAAAACCCCUCUGUGGUUAAGGAAAUUGACACGAAACCUCCUCAUUAUUUAGAAACUCCCACUUAACCCCCCUGUGCUUUGGCCUUGUUUGGAUUUUACCUACUAACCGGCUGGGGAGCCGGUAAUAAUAUGAAAUACCAAAAAUACCCUCAUAUAUAAUAUGUGAAAAGUUACAGAUGCAAUGAGUCAAUCUGGAGCGGAUGAAAGAAACUGAGAGAGAAACCCUAAACCUAUAACGAAGAAGAAGGUAACUGUAUUGCUGAGCGGUGCGAGUUAUGGUGAAGAUCUGUCGGGCUUGCGAUACAUUUCAUGUUCAGAGAGAGAAACCCUAAAGCUAAUUCCAAAAAGAAGGUGUUUGUGUGAUGCGGAUCGGGAAACCUACAGCCAAGAACAUCGGUCGGUGCUUCAGUGCAGAUGGAUCGGCGUUUAUGUGUAGAUCGGUCGAGAGUCGCAACGCAUUGAGCAUAUCUAAACCAGGUAAAAUACAUAUAUGAACCUUAUGCAUUAGAUGAGUUGAUUUGUUUGAUGGCAGGUGUUUUGGUACUAAAUUGUUGGGGAUAUUUUGAAACUUGGUAAAGGAACCACCAUGUUUGGCUUAGUUAGAAGUGUCUCCGACAAUGUUUGUGGGAAUUUGUUUUUAAAAUUUGGUAAAUAUUGCAAAAUGUCAGUUUCGGCUUGGUCAGAAGCUUUUCCGACAGUCUUCCGACAAUGUUUGUGGGAAUUUUUUUUGCUUUUUUAUAACAAUACGCAAAAUGUCAAGAUUUGGCUUAGUCAGAAGCUUUUCUGACAAUGUUUGGGUGCAAUUAUUUAAAAAAUUGCAAUAUACUGCAAAAAAAUAUGAGUUUUUGGGGAGUAAUCGAAUUUUCAUUGGUCCAUACUGGUCUUGAUUAUGGCCUUGAUUAUGUUUUUCAUCCUUCUAGAUAAGUGUGUUGUUGUUCAUUUUUUAUGUUUUUGAAACUGAGUGUAUGAAAUAUUGCAUGUCGUUUUUGAUACAUCUGAAAAGCAAUGAGUAAAUGAAUAUCUGUUUUUUGAUACACUUGAAAACGAAAUUAGUAAAAUAAUCUCGGUUACUUUGGGUUAGGUGCAUAAAAAUGGGAGAUAAUUCGUGGCAGACCGUAGACAUACACUUGCAUUAUGGUGGAUAUUUCAAAUGGAAAUCGAGAAUUAGAUACACUGGCCAACAUGUUAGGGUAUUUUGUGAUUUCGACCCUGAUGAAUUAUCCGUAUUUCAGUUUCAAAAAAUGUACCAAACCAUUGAGCACGGCGUUACAAAUAUGAAUUUCUGGUACUCUAUUCCCUUUCAUGACCUUGAUGUUGGUGUGGUUAGCAUCAAUGAUGAUGUGGACAUCGAAUUAUUGACAACAUGUUAUGAGGGGCUUAAAGAAAUGCACAUAUAUGCUGAGAGGGGGUCUGAUCCCAUUGAAGUUGUGUCCCCGGAAGGAAAAUUACUGUACAAGAGAGUGACUGGUGAUGGCAUACUUGCACUUCCAUAUUAUGAUGCCUGGCAGGCUGAGAUUAGUUCGUCCUCAACUGUUAAAGGCAAGGAUGACAUGGUCAAGGAAGUAAUUGGGAGUGAGGACAAUAAUGACAUUCCAGACAUUAACAACAAAGUAAAGGACGUCUGCGAAGAAAAGUCAUCACAAAUGGAGUCAGAUCCAGCUGUUAUGGGACCACAUAAAGAGAAGAUACAUGAUGCUGGUGACAAGUCCAAGAGAAAGAAGACAAGAAAUGAUAAAAAAGUCAAGUCACAAAGAGUAAAGUUAAGCGCAAGGAAAUCAGUCAGGCGGUUAUUUAAAGACAAAGAAGAAGGUGAUACAUCCUCAGAGUUUCGGCAGUCUCAUACAAGGAAAUCAACAGAAGAAACAACACAGACAAAGAGAGAUCCAACAUCAGAGCAGACUGAUUGUUAUGGAGAAAGACCAAUUCAUGAAGGCGGAGAAGAAGAUGAAAUCAUACUGGAUUACUCAGAUUUUCCUGACUGGCUAAGAGAAGCAGUAGAACUGCCUGAAGAUGGUGAUAUAUUUGCAGGUUUACAUGGUCAAGGAUCAACGCAGGCGUCUAUAAAUAUUGGAUCUGCAAAUUCGGUUGGUAUUCCUUCUGAGCAGCAACAAGAAAAUCAGCAAGCAAAAGCAUCAAACAAAGCUGAUUUAGAUGAACAGCACCAAAAACAACAUGAAAAUCAGCAACCAACCGAAAACCCAGAAGCUGAUUUAGAUGAACAUCAACAACAGCAACAAAAUCAGCAGGAACAGGAUUGGAAUGAGGCAGUAGAUGAUGAUGAAAACCUGUUUGACAGAGGAAUAGGUUCUGAUGAUGAAAGCACCCCUGUCUACAGCUACUUCAAUGCAGAUGAAGAGUUUAGAAAAGAGCACUUUGAACUAAAGAUUGGCCAGAAAUUUAGCAGCUUUCAUAAGUUUAGAGAGGUUUUAGUGGAAUGGGGUAUUAGGGAGGGAUAUGAGCACAAGUACAUUAGAAAUGAGGGGUCUCGAAUCACAGCUAAAUGUGCAAAGGGGUGUAGUUGGAGGAUUCAUGCAAGCAGAAUCCAGAGAUCAAAGACAUUUAUGAUCAAAACUCUUAAGGGGGAUCACCAUUGUGGCAGGGAUUACAGCAAUCGACAUGCCACCUCAACAUAUCUGAGUCAUAAAUUUCAAGCCAAAAUGAGAGAUGAUCCUGGGUGUAGUAUUCCUGGCAUGGUGAAUGAGACAAGAAGAUUGUUCAUGCUAGACAUUAGUCAAAAAAAAGCUGCCAGGACAAAGCAAAAAAGCAUUAGAGGCACUCAGGGGCAAUGACAUGGAGCAAUACCACAGACUUUGGGAUUAUGUAGCUACUGUAAAAAAUUCCAAUCCUUAUAGUCAUAUUUCAUUGCAAAUUGAUAGGCGAAAUAUUGAGGAAAGGGCUACAUUUCAGAGGAUAUAUUAUGGUUUAGGUGCGUUGAAAAAUGGUUUACUACAAGGAUGUAGACCUAUCAUAGGUCUAGGUGGCUGCUUCCUCAAGAGUCCCUUUGGAGGUCAGCUGCUUACAGCCUUGGGUAGGGAUGCCAAUGAAAAUAUGUUCCUUAUUUCCUUUGCUGUUGUUGAGGUUGAGAAUUACGACAGUUGGAGUUGGUUUUUGCGGGAAUUAAUCAGCCAAAUUGGUAGAGGAAACAAAGGAGUGGCUUACACUUUCAUCUCAGAUAGGCAAAAGGGUCUUGUCCAUGCAAUUGAAGAAUUAUUUCCUGAAUCAGAGCACAGAUUCUGUUUGAAACAUAUGUUCGAGAACUUCAAACAAAGAUUCAAGGAUCAAGACCUUAGAGAUCUGUUUUGGGAGGUAGCUGCAGCAGCAAGCAUGCCGGAGCAUGAAACUGCCCUUUCAAAUCUUGAGAGGGCUGACCCACAGGAAGGUGACAAGCUAACGGUUGCGGGAUGGUUCAAACGGUUGCCUCCAAAAUUAUGGCCUAGAGCUCAUUUUAGUACAGCUUGUAGGGGUGACACUUGCGUUAACAACAUGAGUGAGUCAUGGAAUAAUUACAUUCUAAAAGCUAGAGGGGAGCCAAUAAUAACAAUGCUGGAGUGGAUUCGGAGGAGAUUAAUGCAAAGGUUGGUAACCAAACGAGAGGGCAUGCUGAAACAUGGUGGAACUUUAUGUCCAAACAUUUAUGAAAAAUUGGAGAAACUUAAGAUAAAGGCAAGAAAUUGUGUUGCGGUUUACGGAGGAAAUGGAAAUUUGGAAGUUGAUGGUUAUGGAAGGACAAAUGUUGUCAAUUUGGAGUUGAAAACUUGUACCUGUGGUCAUUUUUAGCUUAGUGGCAUUCCUUGCGUGCAUGCGGUUGCCUGCAUUCAGAGCAGAAAGCUGAAAUUCGAGGAAUAUGUUGAUGCUUGUUACCAUAGGGAAGCAUAUUUAAGGGCCUACAACUUCACAAUUGGUCCCGUUCCUUCGAAGCAGUUCUGGGUAGAUAGCAAGAUGCAAUAUCUGAACCCACCAUUGGUGAAAAAACAGCCUGGUAGGCCAAAAAAAUAGAGAAAGAAUGGUCCAGAAGAGCCUACAAAUCAGCAGAAAGCAAGUAGGAAAGGACUUGCAGUUUACUGUCGGAGAUGUUUGAAAACUGGACAUAACAUACGUACUUGCAAAUCAGCGAUUGACCCUAAGUCUAAACUUCACAAAGUAAUGUAACAUUUUACACUCUACUGUAAUAUGGUUUAGUGUGUUUUGUUGCUACUUAUAUACUAAUUCAUUUUGAUUUGGACUGUAGGCACCUAAAGUUGGUCAAACAGCUUCAAAUGCAACAUCCGUAGCUUCUGCUGCUCAGGCAAGCGUCUCAAGUACUGCUACUACACUUUCACAGGUACUAGAGAGUACUGGCCAAACAUUUUUGGAUGCUGGAAUAUACUUACAUAUAUACUAACCAUGACGAGGUACGUGUAGGAGCCAAAUCAGCCUAUAGGUGGUACCAACCAAGAAAGCCAGCAAAGCAGAUUCUCAAAGAGAAAGCAACCUGCUGCAACUUCAAGGAUGUCAAGGUUGCGACAUUGUGGCUCCAAGAGACCAAGAAAAUGAAAAGUUGUUUUCCUGAUUUUGUUGAUUAACAAUACUGCUUAUGCCAAGUAGAAUAUGUCAUUUUAUUGGUUGAAUGUACUGAUGCCAUUAUGGUAUGGAUGGAUGUUGCAGUAUUUUUCAUUGUACUCAGAAUUUUGGUUAUUUUUUGGUUGACUGUUGCUCUCGUGGAUAUUGUAUUAUGGUUUUUGUGUGAAUGAUUUCAUUGACUGUGGCUAUCGUUUGGUUGACUGAUGCCAUUGUGGUAUUGUACUCAGAUAAAUUGGCUAUGUUUUGAUCGACUGUUGCAUUUGUGACUGUAUAGCUAUACUGGUGAACCUUUUGACCAUAUUAUGGUAGGAUACCAUUGUGCUAUGGUUGUAGUAAUGAGUUGAUUUUUGUGUUUAUGGAUGGCAUGUCUUCGCUUAUUUAUUAUAUCUAGCUGUGGUAAUAUGGAUGGCAAUAUCACUGACCAUAUCUUUGCUGAAGAUGAUUAAAUCUGACAAGUGUUUAUGGAAAUCAAUAUUGCUGGUUAUAUCUUUGCAUCUGAUGACUUAAUAUAACAAUUUCAUUGCAUUUAAUUGGGUAUCUCAGGUUUUUCUGUAUAUGUCCCACACCAGAAGCAGGCUUUUUCAAUGUCUUGAACAAAAGCAGCUUCAGUUGCUCAUUUAUAAUUCAAACAUGAAAAUCAACUCCAAAUUGAAACAACUUCACUACAAUUUCCCAACUCCAGAUUCUAUUACACGGCCAAACAGCCAAACAUUACACUUUUUGCCCAAAAUUCAUCUCAUACAUAUAACGACCAGUGACAAAAGAGACACAAGUACAGUCAGCAUCAUCAUCAUCUUCAUCAGCCCCAUCGUUACUUCGACAUUGUGAAUCUUCGAUUGUAAUCCCAUAAUAAUGUUACAGUUAUUACUUUCUAUUCCUUGCCCAGAGAUGAUAAAUCUUUCCGCGGUUGCAGGUCGAAUUGAUGAAACCCCUUCCACGUAUGGACUUUGGCAGGAUGAUUCAUUAGUGCCUCCCUCUCUACUAAUUGGGUUGCACCAUGCCCAAAAUGAACAAGCACCAGUUUCACAUACAUAAUACAACAUACCUUUUGAUGGUUUUUCAGAUUCUACUACCUUAAUCUUUGCUUUAUUGUUGCAGAAACAACGCCGAUUUUGGUACCUUAAGUCUCUCGAUCCACCACCAAAAUUUUGGGAGUUUGACAUUUUUGGGUUCUUCCUUGAAAUGAUAGCUGAUUUAGCCCCUCCAAAGCUUUUCUUGACCCAUCCAAAGUUGCGCUGAGCUCUUUACGUUUUUGGGUCUUCGUUUUGCAUCUCUCUGUCGAAAUUUUUCAUUUGCAGAUCUACAACUAUGGUGGGUGCAAGCUUGGAAGAGACAUGGAGGACAAAAUUGGAAUGAAAUGAGUUUCUGCUAGACACAAGUUACCAUUAAGUCGCGUAAAUAUCACUCGCUAGCUCCCCAGCCGGUUAGCAGGUAAAAUUCAAACAAGUCCAAAGCACAGGGGGAUUAAGUGGGAGUUUCUAAUAAUGAGGAGAUUUCAUGUCAAUUUCCUUAACCACAGGGGGGUUUUAUGUACUUUCCCCUUCAAAUUAUAAAGGUAUUUUUAAAUUAAACAAAAAAGCUUAAAUAAGUUGUAGAGUAAAUGGUAUGAAACAUCUCUAAACCAUUUAAAAUUACAUGAUUUAGUCACUUGACUUUUUUUUCAGCUAAGAAGGUCACUCUUUUAUUUUUUUUUUUUCCCUUUUGAACAUAAAUUUUUUGUUAUUCCAUUGAAUUCAGGCAUUGGACCUAACAACAAUUAGGCUAAAAAAUUUAAGGUAAUGAUGCAUUGUUGAUACUAAACUUUGUUAGAUGCACAAAUAAAAGAGUAUGUCCUAUAUUGAUUCGAGAGAUGGAAAAAGAACGGUUAAUAUGUAAAUAAGGGUCUAAAACCUAAUAAUUUAAAUUUUUGGGUUAAAAUUGGAUUCCUAACUUAUACAUUAGGUUCUUUGAUGGGUUCUCUCGAAAUUUGUCUCUCUAAUAAGUGGUAUCAGAGCCUCUGGUUGCGAGACUAGGUUAUACAUGGGCAAGUGGAUUAUUCUCAGAGUUGGACUAGUGAAAAUUCUCUUCUUAAUGAUGGAUCGAAGUACCAAAGAGUUUGGCUGGAGUUGAAUCAGGUGCACUAUGGAGGGUUGGCAAGAGCCCGAAAUCCAGUUUGGAUGUUAAAGAAGAGUAGGUCCAUGAUUGGAAGAAAAAGUGACCUUAUGUGUUAAUGUAGACUUAUGUUGAGUAUUAAAGUGGGCUCGGAGAACGGUUUGUAAACUUGGUUUAGAAAAAAAGGUGAUUUUAGGUAUUAAAGUGGAUUUGCGUUGAAUAUUAUAAUGGGUUCUUCUAGAAAAUGCGACAUUACGUGUUAAUGUGGAUUUGCGUUGAGUAUUAAUGUGGACUGGUUAAAGAGUUUGUAAACUUAGUUGGGUUUGGAGAAGAGUUUGCAAACUUAGUUUAAUGUGAGUGAUUACUCAUGAAGCUCUCUAACAAGAGGUAUCAAAAUUUCUGGUUGCAAGAUUAGACUACUCAUGGACAAAUGGAUUUUUUCAGAAUUAGACCGGUGAAAAUACUCUUCUUAGUAGUGGAUCAAAAUACUAAAGAGUUUGGCUGGUGUUGAAUUAGGUGCGCCAUAGAGGAUUGGCAAGAAUCUGAAAUCCAGUUUAGAUGUUGAAAAAGAGUGGAUCCAUGAUUAGAAGAAAAGAUGACCUAACGUUUUAAUGUGAAUUUGCGUUGACUAUUAAAGUAGGAUCGAAGAAGAGUUUGUGAACUUAGUUUGGAAGAAAAAGUGAUCUUAGGUGUUAAAAUGAAUUUGUGUUAAGUAUUAAAGUGGGUUCUUCUAGAAAAGGUGAUCUUAUGUAUUAAUGUGGGUUGUCGUUGAGUAUUAAAGUGGAUUCGGAGAAGAGCCUGUAAACUUAAUUGGGCUUGGAGAAGAACUUGGAAACUUAGUUUAACGUGAGCACUCAUGCAGAGGAAGAUGAUUAGAUUUAUGAGUAAAAUGAUUAUAUCUCACAUUGAUUCGAGAGCGGUUAAUAUGUAAGUAAAGUUCCGAAACCUAAUAGUUUAAACUUUUGGAUUAGAAUUGAGUUCCUGACUUAUAUAUUGAACUCUUUGAUUGAUCUUUCGAGAUUUUUCUUCCUAACAAACUUGACGGCAACUAUUAAAAAAACGUUUACUUUGUGACUUUUUAUGUCAUUAGCUCUAAUUUGAAAAACACAUCACCAUUGUUCAAGGGAUUUUUUAAUCUAUAGGGCCUCACAUAAUUUGAAUUAUUAGGCUAAAAUGAAACAAAAAAAUUUUUUUGUUUGCAUUAUUUUAGGAUUUACAGGUGUCCUUAGACCACAGAAUAAUAUACGAUAUAAUCCUCGUUGUCAUUAGGAUCACUGGUGUUAAUUUCUAAAAAUCUCAAAAAACUAUUUGCCACUAUGAUUCUUUUCUAAAACUAUUACCCAAGUUAAAAAACCUCGUCAGCCUUAACAUUCACCUGCAACUAUUAUUUAAAGAAAAUUUUUUCUUUUAAUUAAAUAAAAAGCUUUCUUCUAAUUCAAGCUCGAAACAGAAUUACCAACUCACUAAAUUUCCUGAAUCCAAUAUUACAAAAAUUAAGCGUCUGUUUGGAUAUGUUAUUAUUUUGAAUAAUUACCAUAGUAUUUUUUGUGAUGUGAUGUAUGUGAGAUAAAAAGGUGGUUGAAAAUAUAAAAAUGUGAGUUGGGAAAUGUGUUUAUGAUGCAAGUAAAAUAUGAUUUGGGAUAAUUUCACUAUCCAAAUAAACCCGGAUCGGAAAGUGACUGACAACAACAAAAAUGUGUCUUAAAUCAACAAACAUUAUAUUCAUGCGAUAUUUUUAACCAAAAUAAAAAAGAUCCAUCCAAUCAACAUGAUAGGUCUUGACAAAGUAAGAAUGGAUAAAAACAACAAUAUUCAAUCUUCUCAAAAACAUACUCAUAUAGAUUAAUUGUGAACAAUAUAAAUUGAUGACUAAGUCAUUGUGCUAAGUAAAAUAAUCUCAAAAUUUACCUAUUUAUCAACCAGAGUAUAUUAAUCAGAACUACUGAGUAAAAUCAACUAAAAUACAAAUUAAGGGGUUGAUAUGAAGUAUUGAAUUUAAGCAUCAACCGCUUCAACGUGUUGAUUCAUCUAUCCAAUACACAAUAACAAAAGAGAAUCAGAACUACUACUUACCUAUGAAAUAACCAUCAGAAGAAAAACUACAUAACUUGAAAUUACAUUAAAAUUAGUAACCCGUAAUACCGACAAGGUGUAUAAAGAUUCAAAAGUAGAGGAAUCUUGCAAAAUCCAGCCAAUUUGGCUACACCAUUUGGUUCAAUAAUCUUACCAUAAUUCACAACUUUUGCAUAUAUGUCGUGAAUUCAAUAAUAGUGUGUACACUGUCAAUGUAUAUAAGAUUUAGUCAAAAUGUUGGAGAGGUAGACAAACAGCAGGUAGAAAGAGGACCUGUAAGACGUGUUCAAUUUUUCAUGCGAAGUAUUUGCAAUGCUGUCCAAGAUGACUUUAGCUUGGGUCUCAGGUCAUAGUUUUAGAAAAGUUUUAAACAGGCAUAUGGUUUUUUUGGGGAAGUGUUAUCAUGGAAAUUAAGUCACUAAAGCAAAGACUUUUUCAGUAUGCAUUUAAUUUUCUAGAGAAUGUGUUCAUCAGGACAAGUCAAAAUUUUCAAUAAGGUUUCCAACAAAAGAGGAAUGCAUUUACUUUUACCCUAUUAGCCACGAGCUAAAAAAUGCUGAAGUACCCCAAGGCUUAUUAACUCCAUCAAACGGUUCCUUAGCAAAAACUGUAAGAGUAAACAUUAGGACCAACUUGUUUCCCCAAAAACCCCUGUGCUGUGAGUAGGAUAAUAACAGCAGGAUGGACUAUUCUGGAACCACUCCUUUAUAUUCUAGAGAGAUAGAGAGAGAGAGAGAGAGGGAGAAACUUGAACAACAGAAUUUUACAUCUGGCCUCUUCGGGCUAUCAACAAGGAGGGUAUAUCAAACAUCGCUAACAUGGUAAAAAGGAGAAUCAUACAAACAUGUAACACCCAUUGCUUUGUCAUAUCCUCAUGUAUAAUUAUAAAAAAUGUUGGCUAAAACCAAACUACAUUUUAGACUACAAUGUACAAACUAGGCUCAGUCCGCCCACCUUCUGAGUUAUCUGCAAGAAAAUUUGCCGCAUUAAACCCUC
rnacentral:lncRNA from 1 species